AUUUAAAAUGGAAAAGUAAUGCAAAAUGUGCUGUAGAAUCUAGACAAGAAACAAACUUAUACUCUUAUAAAAAAUGUAAACGUUUUUCUGGAAAAUUUGCCGCAAGACAACGUGGCAUCAGUGACUAGAAAAUUCGUCUCGGUUUCGACACGACGUCCAAACCUGAGGGAUUGGGAUCUUCUAGUCCAGCUUGCACGUGUGAAAUAUCCGAAGACGAUGUCACGAUUUGUCACACGAUAUCCUUUUUGUGACCUUCGUGUCGUUACGUUUGUAAUAGCAUACAAAACAAUGUAGUGAUCAGAUAAACAAACAACAUUAAAUAGUGAAUAACUAAACAAAGUAUUAAUGUCAGAAUCUUUAUCCAUUUUAAAUCAAAAUGUUUUUCCUUUCGGGAUUUAAAAAUACCUUAAACAAAAAAUAAAUAUAUACCUUGAUAAAUUAUAUUAAGGUACAUCUAAUUUUCUUCUUUGAUAAUAAAUUAAAUAAAAUAAAUUUUAUAAAUUAAUAUUCAAGUGAUUAAUUCUACACAAGAAUAUGUACCUAUAUAAAUCUGUUCUUCGUAUAAAAUGUGUAUAAUAUAUAUUGAAAGCAUUUGUAUUUCAAGGAAGUCUAUCUGCAAUUAAAUAAACGGGACUUGUGGUUUGUUCAGUAUUUCGAACGCAUCCCAUCGAUCUUAAUCAUAAAAGUAGAACUCGUUGUCAUUCUUUGAGCGAUGCCAGUCCUGUCUUUUGGUUUAACGAGUUUAACGAGUUGCUGCGCGACCAACGAAAAGUUCAGUGAAGGCGCAACGCGAAUACUGUGUACCUUUCGCACCGCGAACCCAUAAUGGAACUUAAUGGAGCUGACUGUCAGUAUGGAGUUUCUCCUUGUCUCGGUGGCAGACUGUGACUGGACAAUAUAUACUCGUAGUGCCACCGUUAUUUGACAAGACAUGUCCGCACACACGUGGACAUACGUUCAGAUGAUUAUUGUAUAUAUUAUAAAUAUAGAUAGCAGCAAUGUAAUGUAGUCGAAGGAAGCGUAUGUCGAAAUGAUUGAAACUGCAAUUGCGACGAUUAAAUUGUAGCAAAAUGUACAAUAAAAUGUUAUCGCGUACA